rnacentral:rRNA from 1 species
UACGAAGGGGCUAGCGUUGCUCGGAAUUACUGGGCGUAAAGGGCGCGUAGGCGGAUAUCUAAGUUGGGGUGAAAUCCCGGGGCUCAACCUCGGAAUUGCCUUCAAAACUGGAUAUCUUGAGUUCGGGAGAGGUGAGUGGAACUCCGAGUGUAGAGGUGAAAUUCGUAGAUAUUGGGAAGGAACACCGGGUGGCGAAGGCGGCGCUCUGGACCGAGACGUGACGCUGAGGCGGCGAAGGCGUGGGGAGCAAACAGG